rnacentral:misc_RNA from 1 species
AACUGUUAGCAACGGAUCUCUUGGUUCUCGCAUCGAUGAAGAACGCAGCGAAUUGCGAUAUGUAAUGUGAAUUGCAGAAUUCAGUGAAUCAUCGAAUCUUUGAACGCACCUUGCAUCCUUUGGUAUUGCGAAGGGUAUGCCUGUUUGAGUGUCAUUAAAUUCUCAACUUCAAAUGUUUGUUCAUUCAAAUUUUGAAGCUUGGACUAUGGAGGUCUUUGCCGGCGUCAUUGUCAGCUCCUCUUAAAUGCAUUAGCGGAACUUUAUGGACCAGCUUUGGUUUGAUAAUCCUAUCUAUGCCGUCGCUGUGGACUUGAAACAAGUUUGGCUUCUAAUGGUCUUCGGACUGUCUCUUUACGAGGCAUACACUUUUAAGCUUGACCUCAAAUCAGGUAGGACUACCCGCUGAACUUAAGCAUAUCAAUAAGCGGAGGCU